rnacentral:rRNA from 1 species
UCUACGGGAGGCAGCAGUAGGGAAUCUUCCGCAAUGGACGAAAGUCUGACGGAGCAACGCCGCGUGAGUGAUGAAGGCUUUCGGGUCGUAAAACUCUGUUGUUAGGGAAGAACAAGUGCUAGUUGAAUAAGCUGGCACCUUGACGGUACCUAACCAGAAAGCCACGGCUAACUACGUGCCAGCAGCCGCGGUAAUACGUAGGUGGCAAGCGUUAUCCGGAAUUAUUGGGCGUAAAGCGCGCGCAGGUGGUUUCUUAAGUCUGAUGUGAAAGCCCACGGCUCAACCGUGGAGGGUCAUUGGAAACUGGGGGACUUGAGUGCAGAAGAGGAAAGUGGAAUUCCAAGUGUAGCGGUGAAAUGCGUAGAGAUUUGGAGGAACACCAGUGGCGAAGGCGACUUUCUGGUCUGUAACUGACGCUGAGGCGCGAAAGCGUGGGGAGCAAACAGGAUUAGAUACCCUGGUAGUCCACGCCGUAAACGAUGAGUGCUAAGUGUUAGAGGGUUUCCGCCCUUUAGUGCUGAAGUUAACGCAUUAAGCACUCCGCCUA